rnacentral:rRNA from 1 species
GACGAACGCUGGCGGCGUGCUUAACACAUGCAAGUCGAACGGAAAAGCACUGCUUUUGUGGUGUGCUAGAGUGGCGAACGGGUGUGUAACACGUGAGUAGCCUGCCCUUUACUUUGGGAACCCUUCAGGAAACUGGGGCUUAUAGCGGAUAGGAGCUCCUCCUGAUUGGUGGGGGUUGGAAAGUUUCGGCGGUUGGGGAUGGACGCGCGGCUGAUCAGCUUGUUGGUGGGGUAGUGGCUUACCAAGGCUUUGACGGGUAGCCGGCCUGGGAGGGUGACCGGACACAUUGCGACUGAGAUACGGCCCAGACUACUACGGGACGCAGCGGUGGGGAAUAUUGCACAGUAGGAGGAAGCCUGCUGCAGCAACGCCGCGUGCGGGAUGACAGCCUUCGGGUCGUAAACCGCUUCCGCCUGUGACGAGGCGUGAGUGACGGUAAUGGGUAAAGAAGCACCGGCUAACUACGUG